rnacentral:tRNA from 1 species
GGGGAUGUACUUCAGUUGGUAGAGUGCUUGCCUCACAUGCAUAAGGCCCUGGGUUCAAUCCCCAGCACCA